AUUCCGGUUGAUCCUGCCGGAGGCCAUUGCUAUCGGAGUCCGACUUAGCCAUGCUAGUUGCGCGAGUUUAGACUCGCAGCAGAUAGCUCAGUAACACGUGGUCAAGCUACCCUGCAGACACGGACAACCUCGGGAAACUGAGGCUAAUCCGCGAUAUCGAUCCCACGCUGGAAUAGCCGGGAUCAGCAAACGCUCCGGCGCUGCAGGAUGCGGCUGCGGCCGAUUAGGUAGACGGUGGGGUAACGGCCCACCGUGCCGAUAAUCGGUACGGGUUGUGAGAGCAAGAGCCCGGAGACGGAAU
rnacentral:rRNA from 1 species